CUAAUUUGCAGAACUGGUUGAACACAUCAAAUGUGACAUUAGCCCAUCAGCAAUUCAACAUUUAAUAGCUCUUCGAAAAAUUUAACAAGAAAUUCAGAACAUGAACCUCUUGGAAAAAGUUGGGCUUUUCUUGUUGGUGUUGUUGUCACUGUACUGACGACUUCACUUCUCAUUUUUAUUGCUAUCAAAUGCCCAAUAUGGUACAAUAUUCUGCUUAGUUAUAAUCAUCGUCGACUGGAAGAGCAUGAAGCAGAAACCUAUGAAGAUGGUUUUACUGGAAAUCCAAGCUCUCUUUCACAGAUACCAGAAACAAACUCUGAAGAAACUACAGUAAUAUUUGAACAAUUACAUUCAUUUGUGGUAGAUGAUGAUGGAUUUAUUGAAGACAAAUAUAUAGAUAUCCACG
rnacentral:sRNA from 1 species